UCUCCGUUGGUGAACCAGCGGAGGGAUCAUUAUAGAGUUUUUAACUCCCAAACCAUUGUGAACUUACCACUGUUGCCUCGGCGGAAGCUACCCGGUACCUACCCUGUAGCCCCGCCGGUGGACCUUUAAACUCAUGUUAUUUUAAUGAUAUCUGAGCGUCUUAUUUUAAUAAGUCAAAACUUUCAACAACGGAUCUCUUGGUUCUGGCAUCGAUGAAGAACGCAGC
rnacentral:misc_RNA from 1 species